UACCAGUGCUGUUCCCUUAUCCUCCUUUUAUAGAUAAUUCUGAUGUAACCGUCGAGUAUGUAGUCCUACUUUUUAUGACACUAAAUUAUCGAACCGUUAUUGCGGAGUUAGUGGGUCAUUAAUUUCCACUAAUUACCAUGACACGUAGUUGAUAAUCAUUUAUGAUAGUUAUGAUGUAUUGGACAGAUAGACCGACUAUAUGUCGGUCGGUAGCAGUAAGUUGGUAGAAGAUCGAAUGACCAUCGACUGAUAACUCUGAUAUGCCGAUGGUCUUUAAUCGGAGGUUGAUCAAGUCAUUUAUUGUUGAUCGAUAAUAACCGAUUGUCGGUCGGUUGAUCGACUAUGAAUCAGCGUAGUGUGCUUGUGCGGCCGAUGUAGAGUCGAAGUCGGGGGUCAGCUGACUUAUCCCAAUAAUUUUUUUUUUUUUGAUGAGUAUAUUCCCAUGCAUGAUACCUUAACUAAAAUUUCUUAUUUUGUGUACAUAUUGCAUGAUGAUGACAUCUAAGAUGCAUAGAGAGGGUUAGUAAACAAGGAUCAUACUCAACAAAAUAUCACUCCGAAAAGGACCAACUUAAACAGUAUCAAGAUUGGAAUAAAUCCUCCCACGAUUAGAAAAGAAAAUGAGAAAAAAUUCUCCAAAAU
rnacentral:lncRNA from 1 species